CCAGCGCUACAGAAAAAAGGUCUGGACGUCUUUCUGCUGGAGUUUACAGUAAACAGUUAUCAGAGGUUUUACGUUUUUAGAUUCGUUUCUGUAAAUUAAGGUUUAUUUAAUUCAGCUCUGCGUCCGCAGUCACGCCGAGCUCUCGAAGACGCGGAUUCCCCUGAGCAGCUUCGGCCAUCUCACCACAGAAGCGAAGUUUGUUCUGACAACUUAUGGUGUCCUGACUCUCGCUGCAGCUGCCUUCAUGGCCCUAAAUGGAUCUGCACCCUCUUAAAUCACAGAGGUACUCCAGCUGUACUCUUCUUACAGCCCCUAAGGGGCUUCAGGGUUUUUGCAUUGUCACAACUGAAGCUCGAAGGCCGCCAGGCUUUUGCACCGAGGUUAUAUAACGGCCUACCACCAGAAAAUGAGAAGACCUUUGAUGAAGAUGCUGAACUUUAAGCUGGCUGAAUUACAUCAAGCUCUUUCGUGCAUGUAAAGAACUUCACAGGUGGCACAUGUGGUCUCUGCUGCGGAAGUGAUCACGCUCCACCCUUGUACUUUCAGGACACUCACAUGGGAAUUGCUUUUUUUUUCUUUUUUUUUUACAUGCAAUUUCACAAAAACCACAUGUGAAGUAAACAUUAGCAUGUGCUACCGUGCAGUCAGUGGAUGUUUCACUAAUGUUUUCUUUUCAUUCAUGUCAUUUCUCCUGUGUUUCAUGAUGAGCGUCACUGGGGCCGCUGAGAUCAUUCUGAAAGUGAAGCUUCGUUGAACUUAUCGAGUCUGCCUGCAGUUUCCAAGGUUCCAGUAUUACCAAAGAAUGUAGAAGUACCAUAUAUAGGGGGUUCCUCUUUUUUCUUUCUUUUUCGUUGAGUCUGUUCCUUACACUCCAUAGAGAUGUAUUGUAAUGGUUCAUGGAAAAGAAAACAGUGCAAUUCUAAAAACUGAUGUUCCAGUAGCAUUUAAAAGAACAUCAAGAAUUUCCUAUAAGACGGCUGGGCCAGACCGACUGAUAACAUGUGAUAACAUCCCAUAAUAUCGCAAUGAUAUCCCAUAAUAUUGAC